AGAGUUUGAUCCUGGCUCAGAACGAACGCUGGCGGCAUGCCUAACACAUGCAAGUCGAACGAGACCUUCGGGUCUAGUGGCGCACGGGUGCGUAACGCGUGGGAAUCUGCCCUCUGGUACGGAAUAACUCAGGGAAACUUGAGCUAAUACCGUAUAAUGACUUCGGUCCAAAGAUUUAUCGCCUGAGGAGGAGCCCGCGUCGGAUUAGCUAGUUGGUGAGGUAAAGGCUCACCAAGGCGACGAUCCGUAGCUGGUCUGAGAGGAUGAUCAGCCACACUGGGACUGAGACACGGCCCAGACUCCUACGGGAGGCAGCAGUGGGGAAUAUUGGACAAUGGGCGAAAGCCUGAUCCAGCAAUGCCGCGUGAGUGAUGAAGGCCUUAGGGUUGUAAAGCUCUUUUACCCGGGAAGAUAAUGACUGUACCGGGAGAAUAAGCCCCGGCUAACUCCGUGCCAGCCGCCGCGGUAAUUC
rnacentral:rRNA from 1 species